rnacentral:rRNA from 1 species
UACAGAGGUCUCAACCGUUGUUCGGAUUCAUUGGGCGUAAAGGGUGCGUAGGCGGUCGUGCAAGUCGGAUGUGAAAUCUCAGGGCUCAACCCUGAAACUGCAUUCGAUACUGCGCGGCUAGAGUGCUGGAGGGGAGACUGGAAUUUACGGUGUAGCAGUGAAAUGCGUAGAUAUCGUAAGGAAGACCAGUGGCGAAGGCGAGUUGCUGGGCUGACACUGACGCUGAGGCGCGAAAGCUAGGGGAGCGAACGGG